ACAUGCAAGUCGAGCGGAAACGACACUAACAAUCCUUCGGGUGCGUUAAUGGGCGUCGAGCGGCGGACGGGUGAGUAAUGCCUAGGAAAUUGCCUUGAUGUGGGGGAUAACCAUUGGAAACGAUGGCUAAUACCGCAUAAUGCCUACGGGCCAAAGAGGGGGACCUUCGGGCCUCUCGCGUCAAGAUAUGCCUAGGUGGGAUUAGCUAGUUGGUGAGGUAAUGGCUCACCAAGGCGACGAUCCCUAGCUGGUCUGAGAGGAUGAUCAGCCACACUGGAACUGAGACACGGUCCAGACUCCUACGGGAGGCAGCAGUGGGGAAUAUUGCACAAUGGGCGAAAGCCUGAUGCAGCCAUGCCGCGUGUAUGAAGAAGGCCUUCGGGUUGUAAAGUACUUUCAGUUGUGAGGAAGGGGGURKYGUUAAUAGCRYSAUCUCUUGACGUUAGCAACAGAAGAAGCACCGGCUAACUCCGUGCCAGCAGCCGCGGUAAUACGGAGGGUGCGAGCGUUAAUCGGAAUUACUGGGCGUAAAGCGCAUGCAGGUGGUUCAUUAAGUCAGAUGUGAAAGCCCGGGGCUCAACCUCGGAACUGCAUUUGAAACUGGUGAACUAGAGUACUGUAGAGGGGGGUAGAAUUUCAGGUGUAGCGGUGAAAUGCGUAGAGAUCUGAAGGAAUACCAG
rnacentral:rRNA from 1 species